UACGGGGGGGGCAAGCGUUGUUCGGAAUUACUGGGCGUAAAGGGUCUGUAGGUGGCUUGCUAAGUCAGACGUGAAAUCCCUCAGCUUAACUGGGGAACUGCGUCUGAGACUGGCGAGCUUGAGGGCAGGAGAGGAACGCGGAAUUCCAGGUGUAGCGGUGAAAUGCGUAGAUAUCUGGAGGAACACCAAUGGCGAAGGCAGCUCGCUGGGACGUUACUGACGCUGAGACGCGAAAGCGUGGGGAGCAAACAGG
rnacentral:rRNA from 1 species